AUUCUCGAUGAGCGCGUUGUAGAUAAUCUUCAGAUUGUAAUUCCUCUGCGCGUCCAGUGUCCUAUUCAGCACCACCACUAAGACCUGGGUUUGCGGGUAGAGGAAAAAACCGGCUACAGGGACAGCCCCGAACGCCCGGUCCUCGGCCAGCUGCACUUUCUCCACCGCCACUCGGGAAGCGUGCAGCACUACGUAGCGGGUGGCGUUCCGGCACGCGAUCUCCACGUUGACCUCCCCGGAGAAGGUGAAGUUCUCCAUGAAGGCGGUGAGCAUCAGAUUGUAGUGCAGCGGCUUCAGGUGGCCCGACAGGCGCAGCUGCGUCCACGGCUCCCACGGCUCCCGCUCCUCCUCCGACGGCGGCUGGGCCGACGUGGUCCCCGGACUGGCCACCCCACCCGCCUCGGGCUGCCAGGAGUCCCCGCCUGCGUGGUGGUUGCGCCGGGCCGAUCCAGGGAGGCUCCCGUUGCCGCCGCGCUCCGGAAAGCCUGAGGGGCCACCGUCGGCGCCUGGCGUGGCACUCGCCCCGCACUCGUCGAAGCGCAGGCUGAGCAGCACAGCGAGCAUUGUGACCGCGAGCAAUGCCACGAGGGACACAGCGAAGGCCAGCACAAGCCGCUUGUGUACGGCGAUGUGGCGCUCCGUGGUGCGGGGUCGCACUCCCACUGAGUCUGCCCACGGGUCGGAGAGCCCCCUGCUGCCAGCCCGAAGCGCGGCGUCGUCUUCCCCCAUCGCGGCUGCGAAGGCGGCGGCGUUCGGUCCUCUGGGUGGAAUGUGCUCGCAGCAGCAGUGACGGCGGCCACAGCACGGGAGGCACCCGAGCCAUACACCCUGCAGCUGGAGAGAAAAGGAUGGCCGAGGUGGGAGAGACUAGAGUGAACCAGCAGGAGGAAGUCCCAGGGCCGCGAAGCUACGACGGAGAUCCGUCCUGGAAAAGCCUUCUCCACCCUGGGCACUUUAAGCGGCGGUGGCGGCAAACGGCAGGAGGUUGCAGACCCGACAGCGAGACUCCCUCAUUCCAGUCUUGCUCUGCCCUCCGGAGAUGACAAGUGAGAAAGAAGUGUCCGGCCGGGCCAUCCCCUUCAGAGAAGCAACCACUUCACAAGAAGAUUCUGAAGUUGGCCAUUUUUGAUCCCAGAACAGUUUCUCAUAGAUUAGAAAUAUUGGAGUCUACACAAAAAUCGAUAUUCAUUUACAAGAUCAUCACUAAACUUAUCUUGCAUAACUUACCAAGAAUAACUGUAAAAUGUGCUGGGAAUGCAAUGUCCUGAGAUAAGGAAGAACUGCCUGAAACAGCCUGGAUCUUAUUCCUGUACUUCCUAGGGAAUGUAACAUCUCAAGUUAAAGAGGAACUGCCCGGAACAGCCCGGGGAUUGUUCCUCUCUCCUGAGAAGGAAGAUUACCUCCAAAGCUCAUCCACUGAGUCACACUGCCCCUGUGGUGGAGGGCGGGCUGCCUUUCCAGGUUCCUCAGCUGUGGUGUAACUGAAGCAGGCACAAUCAAGACUCCAUCUGCUCGAGGCAGCUUUCUCGAACCUUGGGGAACCUACUCACAAUGGAUCACAGGCUUCUUUUGUUUUGUUUCUUGCUGCCUAUCUGUAAGUAAUUAACUUGCUUCAUGUAACGUGUUGCAUAUGAGUGUGUUCUGUCUCAUAGACUCAGGGAAUUGGUAACACUGCAGCUGAGGACGCAGUGGACAGAAGUGUUCAGACUCCUGUUCCUUGUGGUUGACACAGUGAUGAUGAUCUCUUCUGUCCUCCACAGAGUGGAAGUCCUCUCUUGGGAUUGGUUAUUGGUGAAACCACUUCGCAAUUUAUUAAGAUGGCAAAAGCUUACGGAGGGACAGAUUUGAGGGGAAGAUCAAGAUUUUUCUGUCAGUAUUGCAAAUAGUCAAGAAUAUGUGGUCCAAGAAGUGAUCAUUAUCUUUGGCAUUGUGCAAGUCAUUAGUGACCUUCACAUGAACAGUCUCAGUGGAGUGUUGGAGGAAAAAGCCUAACUGAAGAAGGUUCAAGAGUGAAUGGAAAAAGAGCAGUAGUAUGUGGAGAGUACAGACAAGUAUUUCCAGGAGCCUUUCUGUAAAGAGUGGUAGAGAAUGGGACAUCAUUUUUGGAUGGGGGAAGAGUUAUUUAUAGCAUGUUCAUAUGCUAAUGGAAGUGAUCUACUCAUGGGGAAAAUCUUGAUGAUGCAAGAAAGAAAGGGAUUUGUUGGAAUCUUGUCCUAUAACGGGUGAGAGGGGAUGGGUUCUAGAAGAAAAGGCAUGGGUCUUUGUUUGAGAUCAGGCAAUUCAUCUGUAGGAACCAGUAGGAAGAUGGUUAAGUGGGUACCUGUGGUAGUGGAUGUUUGUGAACAUUCUUUUCUUUUCCAUUGUUUCUAUUUUCUCAAUAAAGUGGGAAGCAAAAAUCAGCUGAGUGAAGAUGAGGAAGAAGGUGUUAAAGGUUUGAAGAAAAAAGGAAAAGGAUAUACUAAUCUAAGAGGACAAGUAAGUAGAACAUAGAUAAUGAAAAUGCUGGCCCUUAGGACUGUUGGGCCUAAAUGCUCAUAUUAUAUUGGUAGUCACAAAUUUGAACUUUCUCUAGAGCCAAUUUUUGCAUGUGUGUGCAGGCCUGGAGUAGUUGGAGAGUUGGAUUUAAUAGAAUUGAGGGUCAAGCAACUACAACCAGGGAAGAGUGGGACAAGGGAGAUAAAGGAUAUUGGCAGGGGAGCAAUUAUAAACAUGGACCAUGAUCAAAACUGGACAGGAAGGAAAAUAGAGAUAAGAGGGGUGGAAGGUUAAAAAUAGUGAAAAUGAGAUAGAAUGAAUAGGUUGUAGGUCCCUGUAAAGUUGAAGAAGUAUUAUUAUGCAGUACUCGUUAUUGAAAUGAGGUCACUAUGCUUAAGGCACAGUGAAUCCUAGAAAAUAGUGGUUUUGUUUCUCAUUAGGCAAUACAUUCCUCCUUGCUCCAGAAUGCAACAUACAUGUAUCCUUUUCUGUACUAUUUUUUAUUAAGAAUUCAUACUUAAUUCCACUGACUGCCACUCAAUUUUAAUGUACAGUAGGGAAUUCCUGUACUAUGUAUUAUGAAUCCAUUCCUUUGAAUUUCAUUUAUAAUACUUCAUGACUGACACCUGGCUUUCCACCAAGACUCAAUUUUCAUAGCAAGCCUCAUCAUCAUAAGCCCCCAAAUUAACAGGAUGAGGAGGAAGAAUUGGCAGGCUAAAGAAGAUGAUUAUAUCAAUUAAUGCAGAAAAAGCAUUUGAUAAAAUCCAAUAUUCAUUUGUAAUUAAAAACUCUCAGCAAGUUAGGGAUAGGAAUUACUUCAACUUAAUGAAGAGUGUCUUUAAAAACCUUAUUUUCAUCAGUUAUAACAAAUGUACCACUCUGGUGGUGAAUGUUGCUAAGGAGGGAAGCUAUACAUGUGUGGGGAAAGGAGAUGUGUGAGCAAUUUCUGUACCUUCUACUCAAUCUUCUGUGAGACUAAAAUUGCUGUAAAAAAUAAAGUUCAUUUUUUUAAAAACCUACAGCUGUCAUUCUUAAUGCUGAAAGACAGAAUGCUUUUCUCUAAGAUAGGGAACAAGGCAAAGAUUCAGUUCUCACCACUCCUAUUCAACACAGCACUACAAGUUCUAGCCACUGAAAUGGGGGUUGGGGGGAAGCAGAAGAAGAAAAGAAAUAAAAUGUAUACAGUUUCAAAAGGAAGAAUUAAAAUAGUCCCUGUGUGCAGAUGACAUGAUUGUCUAUUUAGUAAACCCAUGGAUUAUACAAAAAUAAAAUUCCGAGAACUUAAAAAGUGAUUUCAGCAAGAUCACAGGAUAUAAGAUCGAGAUGAAAACCAAUGUCAUUUCUAUAUACAGUAAGUCCUCUCUCUUAAUAUCAUCAAUAGGUUCUUGGAAACUGACUUUAAGCAAAACAACAUAAAACUAAACCCAAUUUUUCAUCAUCAAAGUUAUAACAAAAUGAUGUUGAACAAAACUACAUUAUUUCAGGACCUGCCAUACAUCAUGUCACUUAAAAUUACAGUUUCUAAGAACCUACCAAUGGCAUUAUGUGAGAAUUACUGUAGUAACAAUAAACGUAUGAAAACCAAAAUUAAAACACAUUUACAAUCAACCCAAGGAAAAUGAAAUAUUGAGGUAUAAACUUAAUGUUUUAUGAGGCAACUUAAUGAGGCAAAAAAAUGUAUACUAUCUGAUGCUGAAAAUUGCAAAUGCUGAUGAAAGAAAUCAGUGAUGACAAAUAAACAGAGAGACAUACUAUAGUCACAAAUUGGAAGACUCAACAUAGUAAAAAUGUCAAUUUGCCUCAAAGUAAUCUGUAGGUAUAAGACAAUUAUCAAAAUUCAGGGAAGUUUUUUGUAGGCAUUGGCUAGCCUAUUCUAAAAUUUAUAUGAAAAGCACAAACCUUAGAAUAUCUAAGAUAAUCUGAAAAGAAGAAUAAAGUGAGAGGAAUCACUCUACCUGAUAUUAAGCUUUAUAAUACAGUAACAGUACUCAAGACUGUGUGGUAUUUGCCAAGGCAUGGACUCAGAUCAAUGGAACAGAAGAGAAAACACAGGAAUAGACCCAUAUAAACAUUUCCAACUGAUUGUUUUCCAAUCGAUUUGUGACAAAAGUGCAGAAGUAAUUCAGUGAAGGAAGGAUAGCCUUGCAACAAGUUGUGCUGAAGCAGUGAGCACCCAUAGGCAAAAAGAAAAAGAGAACAUCAACCUUAACCUCACAUCUUAUACAAAAAUUAAUCCAAAAUUGAUAAUAGACUUAAAUGUAAAAUAUAAAACAUUUCACAAAAAUAGAAGAAAGUCUUCAGGAUCUAGGACUAGGCAAAUAAUUCUUAAAUGAUAUCAAAAGCAUAAUUCAUAAAGGGAAAAGUUGAUAAAUUAGACCUCAUUAAAAUUAAAAACUUAUGGAAAAUGUGCUGUUAAGAGGAUAAAAAAUAUAAGCUACAGACUGAAAGAAAAUAUUUGCAAGCCACAUAACUGACAAAGGACUAGUAUCUAGAAUAUAUAAAGAAUUUUCAAUACUCAGUUGUAAAAACAAAAUAAUUCAACCAGAAAAUUGAUAUGAGCAAACAUGUCACUGAAGAGGAUGUACAGAUGGCAAAAAUGCAUGUAAAAAGAUUUCAACUUCAUAAACCGUUAGGGAAAUGUGAAUUAAGCAACCAAUCAGAAUGGUUAAAAUGUUUAAAAAAUAGUAACACCACCAAAUAUUGGCAAGGAUAUAAAGGAAUCGAAUCACUCAUGCAUUGCUAGUAAAAAAUGUAAAGAGGUACAGCCACACUGGGAAACCUUUUCAUGGUUUUCUAAAAACUAAGCAUGGAGUUACCAUACAUCCCAGCAGUUCUACUCAUCAGCAUUUAUCCCAGAGAAAUAAAAAUUUAUGUUUACACUAAAACCUAUAUAUGAAUGUUCAUAAUAGCAUUUUUCAUAGUAGCCAAAAAUUGGAACCGUCUCAGGUGUCCUACCAUGGGUGAAUGGUUAAACAAACUAUGGUGCAUCUAUAUCUACCAUGAAGUAGAACUCAGCAAUAAAAAGGAAUGAACUAUUCAUACACCUUAUAACUUGGAUGCAUCUCCAGGUAAUUGUGCUGAGUGAAAAAAAAAAAAAAAAGCCCCAAUUCCAAAAGGUUAUAUACUCUAUGAUUCUACUUCUGCAAUGUUUAUUAAAUGAUAAAAUUACAGAAGUGGGAAAAUGAUUAGUGGUUUCCAGGGGGUAUAUACAGUAAGGGUGAGAGGGCCGGAAGAGUGCAGUUUUAUAAGGGCAACAUAAGGGACCCUUAUGGUGAUGGGACUGUUCUGUAUCUUGACUCUGUUGGUAGUCACAUGAAUCUACACAUGAUAAAAUUGCAUAGAAUUAAACAUAUAUACACACUCAAAUGAAUGCAUGUAAAACCGGUAAAAUCUGAAUAAGGUAAAUGGAUCAUAAUCAAUGUCAAUUUUCCAUUUGUGAUAUUAUACUAUAGUUAUGUAAGAUGAUGUUAGCAUUGGGAGAAACUGGGUGAUGGAUAUACAGAAUCUUUCUGUAUUAUUUCUUGUAAUUGCAUAUGUAUCUCAAUGGUCUCAAAAUAAAAAGUUAAAUAAAUAAGAGAGACCAAAAAGUGGCUUUCCAGUGGAGAACUGAGAUAAUCUGAGCAUCUUAUGCUCU
rnacentral:lncRNA from 1 species